AUUGAACGCUGGCGGAAUGCUUUACACAUGCAAGUCGAACGGCAGCACGGGGGCAACCCUGGUGGCGAGUGGCGAACGGAUGAGUAAUACAUCGGAACGUGCCCAGUCGUGGGGGAUAACGUAGCGAAAGUUACGCUAAUACCGCAUACGAUCUACGGAUGAAAGCGGGGGACCGUAAGGCCUCGCGCGAUUGGAGCGGCCGAUGUCAGAUUAGGUAGUUGGUGAGGUAAAGGCUCACCAAGCCGACGAUCUGUAGCUGGUCUGAGAGGACGACCAGCCACACUGGAACUGAGACACGGUCCAGACUCCUACGGGAGGCAGCAGUGGGGAAUUUUGGACAAUGGACGCAAGUCUGAUCCAGCCAUUCCGCGUGCAGGAUGAAGGCCCUCGGGUUGUAAACUGCUUUUGUACGGAACGAAAAGGUCUCUAUUAAUACGGGGGGCUCAUGACGGUACCGUAAGAAUAAGCACCGGCUAACUACGUGCCAGCCGCCGCAGUAA
rnacentral:rRNA from 1 species